GGUGAGCUGGCCGAGUGGCCGAAGGCGCUCCCCUGCUAAGGGAGUAUCGGCGUUAAAUCCGAUCGAGAGUUCGAAUCUCUCGCUCACCGCCA
rnacentral:tRNA from 1 species